GGUGACGGUGAAGGUGCCGAUGAUGGACACCGGAAUCGCCACGACCGGAAUCAUCGUCGCCCGCAUGCUGCCCAGGAAGAGGAAGAUCACGAGGAU
rnacentral:misc_RNA from 1 species